AGACUCCUACGGGAGGCAGCAGUAAGGAAUAUUGGGCAAUGGGCGCAAGCCUGACCCAGCCAUGCCGCGUGCAGGAUGACGGCCUUUAUGGUUGUAAACUGCUUUUGUAAAGGAAGAAAAAAUCCUUCGCGAAGGAUAUUGACAUUACUUUACGAAUAAGCACCGGCUAACUCCGUGCCAGCAGCCGCGGUAAUACGGAGGGGGCUAGCGUUGUUCGGAAUUACUGGGCGUAAAGGGCGCGUAGGUGGCGUUGCAAGCGGGUGGUGAAAUCCCUGGGCUCAACCCAGGAAUUGCCAUCCGAACUGUGGUGCUCGAGUUCGGAAGAGGGUAACGGAAUUCCCAGUGGAGAGGUGGAAUUCGUAGAGAUUGGGAAGAACACCAGAAGCGAAGGCGGUUAUCUGGUCCGAAACUGACACUGAUGCGCGAAAGCGUGGGUAGCAAACAGGAUUAGAUACCCUGGUAGUCCACGCUGUAAACGAUGUGUGCCAGCCUUGGGGAGAUGUAAUCUUUCUGGGGCGCAGCUAACGCGUUAAGCACACCGCCUGGGGAGUACGGUCGCAAGGCUAAAACUCAAAGGAAUUGACGGGGGCCCGCACAAGCGGUGGAGCAUGUGGUUUAAUUCGAGGCAACGCGAAGAACCUUACCGACUUUUGACAUCCUUGAUCGCAUCGCGCGGAGACGCGCGAGUCGGUUCGGCCGGAUCUUGGACAGGUGCUGCAUGGCUGUCGUCAGCUCGUGUCGUGAGAUGUUGGGUUAAGUCCCGCAACGAGCGCAACCCUCGUCUCCAGUUGCCAUCGGCUCGGCCGGGCACUCCGGAGAGACUGCCGACGAUAAGUCGGAGGAAGGCGAGGACGACGUCAAGUCAUCAUGGCCCUUAAGGGUCGGGCUACACACGUGCUACAAUGGCGGCGACAGAGGGCAUAGCCACUUCGCGAGAAGGCGCCAAUCCCGAAAAGCCGCCUCAGUUCGGAUUGCACUCUGCAACUCGGGUGCAUGAAGUUGGAAUCGCUAGUAAUCGCGGAUCAGCAUGCCGCGGUGAAUACGUUCUCGGGCCUUGUACACACCGCCCGUCACACCAUGGGAGUUGGUUUUACCUGAAGGCGGCGAGCCAACCUUUUAGGAGGCAGCCGACCACGGUAGGGUUAGCGACUGGGGUGAAGUCGUAACAAGGUAGCCGUAGGGGGG
rnacentral:rRNA from 1 species